rnacentral:rRNA from 1 species
UACAGAGGUCUCAAGCGUUGUUCGGAUUCAUUGGGCGUAAAGGGCGCGUAGGCGGCGUGUCAAGUCAGGCGUGAAAGCCCCGGGCUCAACCUGGGAACCGCGCUUGAGACUGGCAUGCUCGAGUUCGGGAGAGGAUGGUGGAAUUCCCAGUGUAGAGGUGAAAUUCGUAGAUAUUGGGAAGAACACCUAUGGCGAAGGCAGCUCUCUGGGACGGUACUGACGCUGAGACGCGAAAGCGUGGGGAGCGAACAGG